AUUGAACGCUGGCGGCAGGCUUAACACAUGCAAGUCGAGCGGGGUGAUGGUGCUUGCACUAUCACUUAGCGGCGGACGGGUGAGUAAUGCUUAGGAAUCUGCCUAUUAGUGGGGGACAACAUCUCGAAAGGGAUGCUAAUACCGCAUACGUCCUACGGGAGAAAGCAGGGGAUCACUUGUGACCUUGCGCUAAUAGAUGAGCCUAAGUCGGAUUAGCUAGUUGGUGGGGUAAAGGCCUACCAAGGCGACGAUCUGUAGCGGGUCUUAGAGGAUGAUCCGCCACACUGGGACUGAGACACGGCCCAGACUCCUACGGGAGGCAGCAGUGGGGAAUAUUGGACAAUGGGGGGAACCCUGAUCCAGCCAUGCCGCGUGUGAAGAAGGCCUUAUGGUUGUAAAGCACUUUAAGCGAGGAGGAGGCUCUUUUGGUUAAUACCCAGGAUGAGUGGACGUUACUCGCAGAAUAAGCACCGGCUAACUCUGUGCCAGCCGCCGCCGUAACAC
rnacentral:rRNA from 1 species